CCCUCGAUAGCCCAGUUGGCGGGGGCUUUUGGGCUUGGGCCCCGGGGCGCUGGUUCGACCCGGCUCGGCGGA